rnacentral:rRNA from 1 species
UACGUAGGGGGCAAGCGUUGUCCGGAAUCAUUGGGCGUAAAGCGCGCGUAGGCGGCCAGAUAAGUCCGGUGUGAAAGUCACAGGCUCAACCUGUGAAUGCCGCUGGAAACUGUCUGGCUAGAGUCCGGGAGGGGCGAGUGGAAUUCCUGGUGUAGCGGUGAAAUGCGCAGAUAUCAGGAGGAACACCAAUGGCGAAGGCAGCUCGCUGGAACGGUACUGACGCUGAGGCGCGAAAGCGUGGGGAGCGAACAGG